CAAGCAAAGGGAGCGCAUACAGAUCGCAUAUAUUGGGGGUAAUUAAGCUGGGUCACUCAACCGCUACCUCGGAAUGCAAAAGCGCACCUCCUCUGCAGAGACCGGGUGGGGGGCACCUGAGAUAGGCUGCGGCGGAGGGGGACCAGUCCAGAGAGAGAUCCAAGGGAAGGGAGGCGCGCUGAGGAAGAGGAGAGGGGACGGCGGUCGAGGGGAGGACGCCGGCGACAACAGAGAAAUGGGGGAUUGGAUUUGAUUUGGUUGGGAGCGAAUCUAAAGGAAAAUGCUCUGCGCCAACGCUGGCCGUCCGAUUGGCUGGUUGCUGCCGCUGUACAAUUUAGUACUGGGACAAAAACAUUUCAAUCCUAUGGAAAAGUUUUCUAUGAGCGUGUUUCAAACAAAGGUGAAGGAUUCUGAUCCACAAAUUUUCUAGAACUUGGAUAACCACAUACAUUGAUCAUGGUUUGAUACAUCAUGUACCUAGCCUAGGCAAUCACUUGGGUAGCUAACAACAACUUCUGGGUCGCAUUCAAGAUAACUUUACGACAAGUUCUCAGUCCUGUUCAACAUAUCUUUACUGCAUUUAAAAAUGCUCCACUGCGGAAGGUGGCUUACCUGUGUCACAUCUGCCUAAUAUAAGAAUGAGGGGUAAGGCAAGAUUGUAGUCUUUAAAAAGUCUUAGAGUUACUUGUGAGAAGUUGUGAUCAAAGAAAACACAAAGAUGAACUUGGAAUGA